AUUGAACGCUGGCGGAAUGCCUUACACAUGCAAGUCGAACGACAGCACGGACUUCGGUCUGGUGGCGAGUGGCGAACGGGUGAGUAAUGUAUCGGAACGUGCCCAGUCGUGGGGGAUAACGUAGUGAAAAUUACGCUAAUACCGCAUACGAUCUAUGAAUGAAAGCGGGGGAUCGCAAGACCUCGCGCGAUUGGAGCGGCCGAUAUCAGAUUAGGUAGUUGGUGGGGUAAAGGCCCACCAAGCCAACGAUCUGUAGCUGGUCUGAGAGGACGACCAGCCAAACUGGAACUGAGACACGGUCCAGACUCCUACGGGAGGCAGAAGUGGGGAAUUUUGGACAAUGGGCGAAAGCCUGAUCCAGCCAUUCCGCGUGCAGGAUGAAGGCCCUCGGGUUGUAAACUGCUUUUGUACAGAACGAAAAGGUUUCUACUAAUACUAGGAGCUCAUGACGGUACUGUAAGAAUAAGCACCGGCUAACUACGUGCCAGCAGCCGCGGUAA
rnacentral:rRNA from 1 species